UAAAAACUUCCCGAUUAUAGUGAGUCAGUCUUAAUAUGGCUGAAUAUUAAGUGCACGAAAGUUUCUGCCUGUAUAAGCCUGUAAAUAUACAACAGUUUGUUGAAGGAAAUCUGUUCUAGAACAUGUCUGACCAGGUUCCACAAAGUGGUGCCUGCAGUCAAGCAAACAUGUCGGAGAACGUGAUGUAUGAUAAAAUGAAGGAUGAUCACUACAAGAUAUGGACAGACAAUUAUACGGAAAUAGUGGACAAUUUUAAAGGUGACUUUAACCACCUAAUUUCUAGUUUGUUUAAAUCCAGUCUUAUAAGUCUCGACGACAAAAAACUACUAGAACGAAGACAAAAUAAAGACGGCGAUUGUCAAGCAGCUGCAAAUUUGGUAGAUAUACUUUUUCACAGAGGCCAUGACGUCUUACCCAGAAUAAUAGCUGUAAUAAAAUGCGUUGGAUACACUAAGUUGGCCGCAAACCUCGAGGCUGCCGUGUGUGGUAUUGAUUAUAAUACAUAAACUUCAAUAUAGCAAAAUGGUUGAAAAUAUAGACUGGAAUAAAGUUCAAAUGAUUUUCAAAAUCUUUUUUAGUUUUCUUUCCGUUUUUACGCCGGAUUUAAAAAAACUAAUUCGUGGGCGCGUGUGUGAGUGGGGUUGAAUUAAGAGGCAUUAAAGUUUCUUGGUCCGAAUGCGUGCACUUUAGAUCAUAAGUUAUGUUGUUGAGUCUAUUGACGUGGUUUUGAUCCCACGCUUGGACCUUACCAGAAGAAGGGUGACCUGCCUAACCUCGUGUUUUUUCUCCGGGUCCUCCUACAUCUUGUAACAGAGUACGCUAUAACUUUCAUCAAAUUGAACGAUCAUUUAGGUGCAUAGAACUUAGUGAGCUAAGCUGUUUUUGAUCAUGUAUGAUAUUGACUUUUCAACUCUGUAUAUACUUUAUAUAUGUGUAUAUGUUUAGUCACGUUCUAAUUAACCAUGUAAUUAACCCCAUAUGCCAUUUACAAACUACAUACGAUCGGCAGAGACCGGCGUAUGGACUCGCCUAAGUUCAGCCGAUGCCUUGGCAGAGGGGCGGAAUGGUGGAUUUAAUGUAGUUAUGCACCACCCUGAUGUGUUCCUGUCGUAGUCUACUUCCUGUAUAUUAGUUUAGGUUCCUGUAUUGUUUUGUAUGUAGUUGUGUUAUAUUCUGUUCCUAUGUAAAUAAACCCUAUAUCUACUAAA